rnacentral:rRNA from 1 species
UACGUAGGGUGCAAGCGUUGUCCGGAAUUAUUGGGCGUAAAGAGCUCGUAGGCGGUUUGUCGCGUCGUUCGUGAAAACUCGCAGCUUAACUGUGAGCUUGCGGUCGAUACGGGCAGGCUAGAGUUCGGUAGGGGAGACUGGAAUUCCUGGUGUAGCGGUGAAAUGCGCAGAUAUCAGGAGGAACACCGAUGGCGAAGGCAGGUCUCUGGGCAUUAACUGACGCUGAGGAGCGAAAGCAUGGGGAGCGAACAGG